AUGUUCUUUAAAUCGCCCCUUCACCAGAAUUACUCUACUCUUCGUCACCCUCUUUCAUCUUCAAUAAAUUGGAUAUCACAACCUCGAUGCUUCAAUCAUUAUCAAUCCUACAUCGCGUUUCUCACUGCAAAAACAAAUGUAAAGUAUCAAUUCCUCACAUCAGUCCAGAUUCAACCAUCAUUACCAAGUUUUCAACAUUAUAACUUUGUUCAAAAUUGCAAGAACGGAAGAAGAAUGGAAUGGAGGACGUACCUGAUUUGUAACUGGAUUUCUGGUCAUUACAACACUGUCAAAAGCAUAUCAAAUGGGUCCCGGUUGAUCUUUAGUGAAUGCUCCCUUUAG